rnacentral:rRNA from 1 species
AACGCUGGCGGCGUGUCUUAGCAUGCAAGUCGAGCGGCAAGGGCAGCAAUGCCCCUAGAGCGGCGGACUGGUGAGUAACGCGUGGGUGAUCUACCUUGGGCAUGGGGAUAGCCAUUAGAAAUAGUGGGUAAUACCGAAUACGUUCGUCACCGUGAGGGUGACGAGGAAAGGCGCUACGGCGCCGGCCUGGAGAUGAGCUUGCGUCCGAUUAGCUAGUUGGUGAGGUAAAGGCCCACCAAGGCGAUGAUCGGUAGCCGGCCUGAGAGGGUGUACGGCCACACUGGGACUGAGAUACGGCCCAGACUCCUACGGGAGGCAGCAGCUAAGAAUAUUCCGCAAUGGACGAAAGUCUGACGGAGCGACGCCGCGUGGAUGAUGAAGGCCGAAAGGUUGUAAAGUCCUUUUGCUGGGGAAGAAUAAGCGUGGGAGGGAAUGCCCGCGUGAUGACAUGAACCGGCGAAUAAGCCCCGGCUAACUACGUGCCAGCAGCCGCGGUAACACGUAGGGGGCGAGCGUUGUUCGGAAUUACUGGGCGUAAAGGGCAUGUAGGCGGCUUUGUAAGCUUGGCGUGAAAUUCCACGGCUUAACCGUGGGAAUGCGUUGAGAACUGCGAGGCUUGAGUGACGGAGAGGGAGCUAGAAUUCCUGGUGUAGGGGUGGAAUCUGUAGAGAUCAGGAAGAAUACCAAUGGCGAAGGCAAGCUCCUGGCCGAUGACUGACGCUGAGGUGCGAAAGUGUGGGGG